rnacentral:tRNA from 1 species
AAAUAAGAAGCUAAAAAGCAAUUAAUUUCGGCUUAAUAAUUGGGUGAAAUAACCGCCCCUUAUUUU